rnacentral:rRNA from 1 species
GACGAACGCUGGCGGCGUGCUUAACACAUGCAAGUCGAACGAGGCCCCGCCUUCGGGCGGGUGUUCUAGUGGCGAACGGGUGAGUAACACGUGGGCAACCUGCCCCCGGCUCUGGGAUAACUCCAAGAAAUUGGGGCUAAUACCGGAUAUGUCCGCUGACCGCAUGGUCUGGUGGUGGAAAGGGUUUCCGGCUGGGGAUGGGCCCGCGGCCUACCAGCUUGUUGGUGGGGUAGUGGCCUACCAAGGCGACGACGGGUAGACGGCCUGGGAGGGUGAGCGGCCACACUGGGCCUGAGGCACGGCCCAGACUCCGACGGGAGGCAGCAGUGGGGAAUAGUGCGCAAUGGGCGAAAGCCUGACGCAGCGACGCCGCGUGGGGGAUGACGGCCUUCGGGUUGUAAACCUCUUUCAGCAGGGACGAAGCGCAAGUGACGGUACCUGCAGAAGAAGCACCGGCCAACUACGUGCCAGCCGCCGCAGUAAUAC